UGGAGGGAAGAGCAUUAAAAAGAGAGCAGAAAAUGGGCCAGCCUCCCUCUAGGGAAUCUUCACAAUCAGGUCCAGGGAUCCCAGGCUGCUAGCUUCUGAGCCCACAGCCUGACUUCACAGAGCCGCAGAGGUUCCCAAACCUCAGGGAAGACAGGCUCUUCUGAGUACAAGAGGCAAGAGGCACGCAGGACACCAAGUACACAGGCCUCUCUGAGAGGCCGGCCUGCAGCUAUGAAGACAGGCUCGCAGAGGCCUGCCUGCCACCGCAUGGCCCACCCACAGCAGGAGCCACUACAACGCAAGAACGUGACGGAGAGACGGGAGAGAAAGAGAAGAGGAACAGUUUGAGCACUGUGAAGAGAGGCAGAACUGGAGACACAGUCUGUGAGGAAUAGCUUGAUGGAUUCAGAAGACGCACUGUGGCUUUUGGCCCAACCUGACAUCUCUGUAUCAUCCUCCCCAGCUGCCGCAGAUGUAAGAAACCCCGUGUCUGAUCUUCAGCACAGACAGUGCUAAGGAUGGAGUUGGAGUUAACUGCUGAGCCAUCUCUCCAGCCCCAAGUAUACACUUCAUCAUGAAAAGAUGUUCUCUGCAUCGAUUGGAAAGGACAACUGUUGCGAACGUUGCUCAAGGGAGUGAG